GACCUCUCUCCUCCAACUCUCAGCUCCACUUUCAACCUACACCCUGGAAGAACUACUUCUGUUUUCUGCUGCCCUGGCUGUUGGACUUCCCUGGCGGUUAAGGAGACAGACAUUCACAGGACUUCCCUGGAGGUUAAGGAGACAGACACAAUCCCAGAACUCAAUCUGCCUGUUAUGAAGAUGUAUCUGGACCCUAACCAGUUCCUGUGAAGAGAGAGGAGCCAUGAGGAGGACGGAAUAUGGG